rnacentral:tRNA from 1 species
GAGGGUGCAGCUCAAGUGGUAGAGCGCAUGCUUAGCAUGCGUGGGGUCCUGGGUUCAGUCCCCUGUACCUUCA